GCGAUACCCACUUGCCAAGGAGAACCCUAAAUUCUAGACUGUCGAUGAUGUCGUGAUAUCUUACCCUUGGGUAUCGCAAUAUUGAUGUCGUAAAGGGACAAAAAAAUGACAUCAGAGGUAAUUUUUGUCCAACCAAAGCAUCAAUCAAUGAAGGGUCGUUCAAGGGCAAUUUGGUCAAGAAAAAGGAUCUGUAAUAACUGCUAAAAACAACCAAAUUUGGCUGAGAAGAGAGGAG
rnacentral:lncRNA from 1 species